rnacentral:rRNA from 1 species
UUGAACGCUGGCGGUAUGCUUAACACAUGCAAGUCGAACGGAAACGAUACUAGCUUGCUAGUAGGCGUCGAGUGGCGGACGGGUGAGUAACGCGUAGGAAUCUGCCUGAUAGUGGGGGAUAGCCCGAAGAAAUUCGGAUUAAUACCGCAUAAUCUAUUCGUAGUAAAGUGGGGGACUUUCGAGCCUCACGCUAUCAGAUGAGCCUGCGUAAGAUUAGCUUGUUGGUAGGGUAAAAGCCUACCAAGGCGACGAUCUUUAGCUGGUCUGAGAGGAUGAUCAGCCACAUCGGGACUGAGACACGGCCCGAACUCCUACGGGAGGCAGCAGUGGGGAAUAUUGGACAAUGGGGGCAACCCUGAUCCAGCAAUACCGCGUGUGUGAAGAAGGCCUGAGGGUUGUAAAACACUUUCAAUUGUGAAGAAAAGUUAGCGGUUAAUAACCGUUAGCCUUGACGUUAACUUUAGAAGAAGCACCGGCUAACUCCGUGCCAGCAGCCGCGGUAAUACGGAGGGUGCAAGCGUUAAUCGGAAUUACUGGGCGUAAAGCGUGCGUAGGCGGUUUAUUAAGUCAGAUGUGAAAGCCCCGGGCUUAACCUGGGAACUGCAUUUGAAACUGGUCAACUAGAGUAUGGUAGAGGAAAGUGGAAUUUCUGGUGUAGCGGUGAAAUGCGUAGAUAUCAGAAGGAACAUCAAUGGCGAAAGGCAGCUUUCUGGACCAAUACUGACGCUGAGGUACGAAAGCGUGGGUAGCAAACAGGAUUAGAUACCCUGGUAGUCCACGCCGUAAACGAUGAUAACUAGCCGUUGGGGGGAUUUACCCUUUAGUGGCGAAGCUAACGCGUUAAGUUAUCCGCCUGGGGAGUACGGCCGCAAGGUUAAAACUCAAAGGAAUUGACGGGGACCCGCACAAGCGGUGGAGCAUGUGGUUUAAUUCGAUGCAACGCGAAGAACCUUACCUGGUCUUGACAUCCUGCGAACUUUCUAGAAAUAGAUUGGUGCCUUCGGGAACGCAGUGACAGGUGCUGCAUGGCUGUCGUCAGCUCGUGUCGUGAGAUGUUGGGUUAAGUCCCGUAACGAGCGCAACCCCUAUCCUUAUUUGCCAGCACAUCAUGGUGGGAACUAUAAGGAGACUGCCGGUGAUAAACCGGAGGAAGGCGGGGACGACGUCAAGUCAUCAUGGCCCUUACGACCAGGGCUACACACGUGCUACAAUGGGAAGGACAAAGAGCCGCGAAGCCGCGAGGUGUAGCUAAUCUCAUAAACCUUUUCGUAGUCCGGAUUGGAGUCUGCAACUCGACUCCAUGAAGUCGGAAUCGCUAGUAAUCGUAGAUCAGAAUGCUACGGUGAAUACGUUCCCGGGUCUUGUACUCAC